CCGAAGGGAAACCAAGUCUUAACAGGGCGUGUAGUUGUGUUGUGUAGACCCGAAACCAGGUGAGCUAACCAUGAGCAGGCUGAAGGUUGGAGAAAUCCAACUGGAGGGCCGAACAGGUUGAUGUCGCAAAAUCAUCUGAUGACUUGUGGUUAGAGGUAAUAUGCCUAACGAACCUGGAGAUAGCUGGUUCUCCUCGAAACAUGUUUUGGCAUGGCCUCGUAUUUACGGUAUGGGGGGUAGAGUGCUGAAUGGACUUUGCGAAUAAAAUCGUAAUUUCCAACCAAACUCCGAAUACCCAUAUCAAUUGUACGGGAGUCAGUGGCUGGGGGCUAAGCUCCAGUCGCAAAAGGGAAACAUCCCAGACCCUCAAAUAAGGUCUCUAAAUAUAUAUUAAGUGGUAAAGGACGUGUCAUUUCUCAGACACCUAGGAGGUCGGCUCAGAAGCAGCCAUCCUUGAAAGAAAGCGUAACAGCUCACUAGCCGAGAGAUACACGGCCGAAGACGUAACGAGGCUAAAUAUAUUACCGAAUUUAGGGAUUCGCAUCGCAAGAUGUGAGUGGUAGAGGAGCGUUCCUGUAGCUUUGAAGGCUGACCGUAAGGUUUGCUGGAGCGGCAGGAAGUGAGAAUGCCGGCAUGAGUAGCGUAAUAAAGUGAGAAUCUUUAUAUCCGAAUGAGCAAGGUUUCCUACGCAACGUUCGUCGACGUAGGGUAAGGCGACCCUUAGGUGAGGCCAUAAUGGCGUAGCCGAUGGAUUACUGGUCGAUAUUCCAGUCCUUGUCUGUAAUCGUUAUUAACUGGGGCGGGACGAAGUUGGAUAGUCUGGGCGAUGUGUUGAAGAUACAUUCGCUUAAGCAGUUAGUCAGUCACUAUUGGCAAAUCCGUAGUGGCGUUUAUACGAGCUGUGAACACGAGUCUGCCGUAAGGUGGGCAAGUCAGAUGAUUUCAGUUUCCGAGAAAAGCGUCGCAGUGAGAGUGCAGAUAAUCCGUACCACAAACCGACACCGGUGCUCUGGUCGAGUAGACCAAGGAUAGCGAGAGAACUCUUCUUAAGGAACUCGGCAAAUUAGCUAGGCGUAAGUUCUACGAGAUGCCUUGCCCUGAGCAAUAUCAGGGCUACAACAAAAGAUUACAAAGGGGCUGUUUAACAAAAACACAGGUCUGUGCAAAAGAGAAAUCUUAAGUAUACAGGCUGAAACCUGCCCAGUGCCGGAAGGUUAAAUGCGUGGCUGAUCCAUCGCAAGAUGGCUAGGCUGCAAUUGAAGCCCCGGUGAACGGCAGCAGUAACUAUAACUGUCCUAUGGUAGCGAAAUUCCUUGUCGGGUAAGUUCCGACCUGCACGAAAGGUGAAACGACUUUGUAACUGUCUUGAGAAGAGACUCGGCGAAUUUGAAUUGGCUGUGAAGAUGCGGCCUACUUGGCACUGAAAUGUGUAAAGUAACUGUUUAGCAUAGGAGGGAGUACCAGUAUUUAUAUUGGUACAUCAAUGAAAUACCUCUCUUUGCUAUAUACGUUUCUAACCUAAUCCAAAUGCAAACUUUGGAAGGAACACUGUCUGGUGGGUAGUUUAACUGGGGAGGUUGCUUGCUAAAGAGUAACGCAAGCGCACAAAGGUACCCUUUCUCCGGAUGGAAAUCGGAGUGUAAGCGCAUAGGUAUAUGGGUGCUUAACUGUGAGACAUACAAGUCGAUCAGAUACGAAAGUAGGUCUAAGUGAUCCGAUGUCGGCUCAGCGCAUCCUGGGGCUGAAGAAGGUCCCAAGGGUUGGUCUGUUCGCCCAUUAAAGCGCUACGUGAGCUGGGUUCAAACCGUUUAGAAGUAAGACAGGUUGGUCUCUAUCCGCUGUCAGCGUGGGAUUUUUGAGGGAGUUUGUCUCCAGUACGAGAGGACCGAGAUGAGCCAUUCCCUGGUGUGCCAGUUGUUGUCGUCAGACGCAUUGCUGGGUAGCCACAAUGGUAUUGGAUAAUCGCUGAAUGCAUCUAAGCGAGAAGCCAUUCCUAAGAUGAGAAAUCCAUGUUUCGCAAGAAACGAAAGAACCGUAGUAGACCACUACGUUGAUAGGCAGAGAGUGUAAGCGGCGCAAGUCGUUUAGCUUAUCUGUACUAAUGUUC
rnacentral:rRNA from 1 species